rnacentral:rRNA from 1 species
GACGAACGCUGGCGGCGUGCUUAACACAUGCAAGUCGAACGGAAAGGCCCUGCUUUUGUGGGGUGCUCGAGUGGCGAACGGGUGAGUAACACGUGAGUAACCUGCCCUUGACUUUGGGAUAACUUCAGGAAACUGGGGCUAAUACCGGAUAGGAGCUCCUGCUGCAUGGUGGGGGUUGGAAAGUUUCGGCGGUUGGGGAUGGACUCGCGGCUUAUCAGCUUGUUGGUGGGGUAGUGGCUUACCAAGGCUUUGACGGGUAGCCGGCCUGAGAGGGUGACCGGCAACAGUGGGAGUGAGAUACGGCCCAGACUCCUACGGGAGGCAGCAGUGGGGAAUAUUGCACAAUGGGCGGAAGGCUGAUGCAGCAACGCCGCGUGCGGGAUGACGGCCUUCGGGUUGUAAACCGCUUUCGCCUGUGACGAAGCGUGAGUGACGGUAAGGGGUAAAGAAGCACCGGCUAACUACG